rnacentral:lncRNA from 1 species
AUGGCCAGCUCUGUGUUCCUUCCCUCAGCCCGAGAGCCACUGCUUUCCCUGUGGAAAAUAAUGGGAAUCCUUGUGCUCUUAAAUCACAGUGUCCUAAAUGCACACCUGUCAGAAGUGAGCGUAAAUCUGACCAGAGUCAUUAGAGGUAUGAAAGAAAAGAUGAGGAGAACCUGUGAAACAAGCUGUCCCAUUGUGUUCCAGGUUGGCUACAUGCUUCUGUUUUCUUUCCUUUCAGUUCAGGGUAAGAUUAUAUCUCAUCCACUCACCUGAUAAAUUCACAGAAAGCAUGCAAGGAACAAAGAUAAGCACAAUCAUUUGUAAAUGUUUUAAAAAUGCUGUCACAUCACAGUAUUUUAAUAACCACAAAUAUUUUCACUGAUAUUUGUAGGUAAUUUAGUGAGAUACCUUUUAAAACUCCUGCUAGGUUUGAUCAUCCGUGCCUCUGCAUGUCCACUUGGUUUACACUAGCCGUGUAUUUUGUGUAAGCUAUGCAUCUUACCUCAGCCUGAAAGAGGUGCAGUACAGUGCUUAAGCUCUGAAAUGUAGGUAUUUGGCACGCAAGAUGGGAAUAACCUCAAUUUGUUGUCUAAAAAUGAAGUAUUUAGUCUGAGUGGAGUGCCUGACUUGUAUUACGGUAAAUGAAGAAACAAUUACUUUAAGAAGGCAAUCUGUUAUAUCUAAUGUGCGUGACUUCUUUGGGGAGGCAGUGAGGUUCUCUUUAUUGAGUAGAGGGCAUUCAAGCAACCAUGAAGUGAAUCAAAAUGCAGAUUUCUGACAUGAUGUAUUUAGCGUUAAGAAAUACUCAGAGAAGGGAGAGAAAAGGUUUAACUGAGGCUUUUCAAAUGUGCAGAUAAUGAUAGGAAGGAAUUUUCCAUUUCAGAAAGAAGUACAGCAAAGGCUGUUUGCCAGUCAGCUCUUCAAGGUUCAUUGAUACCACAGAGCUCCACGGCUCACCCUGUGAAGACUGUUAGAUGUGCGUCUUUUGUGUACAUCAUUUUUUCAAGAGCCCCAGUGUGCAAAUAAAGCAGCUUGGCUCAAGGGACCA